CAGCAGCCACGGGAAUACGGAGGGUGCAAGCGUUAUCCUGAUUUAUUGGGUUUAAAGGGUCCGUAGGCGGACUUAUAAGUCAGUGGUGAAAGCCUGUCGCUUAACGAUAGAACUGCCAUUGAUACUGUAAGUCUUGAGUAUAUUUGAGGUACCUGGAAUAAGUAGUGUAGCGGUGAAAUGCAUAGAUAUUACUUAGAACACCAAUUGCGAAGGCAGGUUACCAAGAUAUAACUGACGCUGAGGGACGAAAGCGUGGGUAGCGAACAGGAUUAGAUACCCCUGUAGUCCCUGUCUCUUAUAC
rnacentral:rRNA from 1 species